rnacentral:rRNA from 1 species
GAUGAACGCUAGCGGCAGGCUUAAUACAUGCAAGUCGAGGGACAGCACAGGUAGCAAUACUGGGUGGUAACCGGCAAACGGGUGCGGAACACGUACACAACCUUCCUAUAAGUGGGGGAUAGCCCAGAGAAAUUUGGAUUAAUACCCCGUAAUAUAGUUGAAUGGCAUCAUUUGAUUAUUAUAGCUACGGCGCUUAAUGAUGGGUGUGCGGCUGAUUAGAUAGUUGGCGGGGUAACGGCCCACCAAGUCUACGAUCAGUAGCUGGUGUGAGAGAAUGAUCGGCCACACGGGCACUGAGACGCGGGCCCGACUCCUACGGGAGGCAGCAGUAAGGAAUAUUGGUCAAUGGACGCAAGUCUGAACCAGCCAUGCCGCGUGAAGGAUUAAGGUCCUCUGGAUUGUAAACUUCUUUUAUUUGGGACGAAAAAGGGCCUUUCUAGGUCAACUGACGGUACCAGAUGAAUAAGCACCGGCUAACUCCGUGCCAGCCGCCGCCGUAAUAC